GUCUACGUCAAUGCCACCCUGAACAUGCCCGAUCUCAUCAGAUCUUGGAAGCUAAGCAGGGUCGGGCCUGGUUAGUAUUUGAAUGGGAGACCACCUAGGAAUACCAGGCUCUGUAGGUG
rnacentral:rRNA from 1 species